UGAUUUCAGUGAGAUGAGGGGUCAAAUCCCAAGAUUCCUCUUUCUUAAGUGCUCCCACCUCGUUCUCUUUCAUACAUGAACUUCUGGCCCUUCAAUUCUCUAUAUAAGCCACUCUUAUUCAUCCUCUCUCUGCACCAUCUCUCUCUUUCUGUCUCUCCUUCCUGUUUGCUUCUCAGCUUUAUUUUUUAGUUUCUAUUUCCUUGGCUGACUAUGGCUACUGCUGAGGUAGUAACAGCACAGACUGCACUUCCUGAGGAAAAACCAGCUGAAGAAGUGAAGGUUUCAGAGAUUGUAACAGAAGAGGCAGCACCAGCAGUAGAGCCAGUUGCUGAAGAGCCCAAGGAAGCAGAGCCAGUUGCAGUAUCUGAAGAACCAAAGGGGGCUGAUGAUGCUCCGGCUGAAGUAGCGGUUGAAACUAAAGAGGUUGUAGAAGUUGAAGAGGCCAAGACUGUGACAGAAGAGCCAACAGUAGAGAAAACUGAAGAAGAAGAAGAGACUCCUAAGGAAGAAACACCAGAGCCUGUGGUUGUUAAGGAGACUCCUAAAGAGGAACCAGCAGCAGAGACCGUUGUUGUGGAGGCUCCCAAAGAGACAACCGAGGCUGCAACUGAGGCAGAAGCACCGGCACCGGAAUCCGCACCAGCAUCAGCAUCGGAAACUCCAGCUGAAGAAGAAGUUCCAAAGGAGGAAGAAGGUGAUGAGAAGAAAUCUGAAGCAGAAGUUGAAGCUGAGAAGACUGAGUAAUGAGAUAGCUCAGCAGGGUUUAAUUGGUUUUUGCAUGCCGUGCUGUAAUUUUCGUAUUGUUAGGUUGUGGUCUAAUAAGAGUUUUAUUUGAACCAAUGGGAACUCACCACAUGGCAGACAUGCAUUUGCAACAGUAUGGCGAUGUUUUGGGUACUCAUUUAUACUACGUGGCAACUAGCAUGUGUGCCUAUUGGUUCCAAGCAGUUCCAUGAAUUUUAUAUACAUUGUGCUUUGUUGAUGCUUUGUAAUAAUAAGCUUGUAGCGCUUGUGAUGCUACUUUGUUUAAUAUAAUUUCUAGUACCCUAAGUUAUUUUUAAA